CUGGCGGAUGUGGAGGAUAACAUAAACUAAGAAGGGAACAUCCGCAGCAAAGGCUUGCUGGCUUUUAUUUUUGGAGUCGCAGAGCGCCAGUCAAGCCAGCGAGCCUCCGUGCCAGUGCUCCUCCUCGGCGGCAGAGCGAGAACGUCGAACAAAGCAUUACAAAGGAUUAACUUUUCCCCGACCCGGCCCGCUCCGCCGCGCUUCUUGCUUUGCUUUGCUGACAGCGUUGCUACGGGAGCCCCACCCACCCCUCGAGUGAGCGAGCGGCCCGGAGGUCUCUGGCUGAGGACGGUCACAUGGGCCUCCCUCUCUCCGCAUGGUGGGAAGGACAAGUUAUUUGAAUUGCACGCCUGGGGACACUCAAAAGUUGAGACCCCCUUCCAGGCGGCGGGGCUUCUUGCCUCGGCUGGAACCUCCUGACCACUGCCUUCGCUUCGCGCUGGCUCAAAAUGCCACUCUAAGUUUGCAAGAAAGGCAUAAGAAAAACAAUGGCUGAUAAUGCUGACCUCUUAAAGAACCUGCAGAGCAACCUACAAGAUCUCAACCACCUCAGAACUAAAUAUCUGACAUCAACCAAACAUCCCUUGCCUGCUAGUACCAUGUCCUUGCUCCAAGACCAGCAUCAGUUGCCAAGGGAAAAUAUGAACCUCCAACCAUUUGCACCUAGAAANAGCAUUCGCCACCGUAACCCUUACUGGCCUGAUGAAGAGAUACGAACCUUCAUUGAGAUUUGGGGGGAUGACCAAGUCCAGGCCUCCCUGGCCACCAAUUUUCGCAAUGAAGCACAGUAUGAAUGGAUCUCUGAUAGGAUGCGAGACUUCGGCUAUGACCGGGAUAUGAAGCAGUGCCGAUUGCGUGCUAAGGAACUUCGGCGAGGAUACAAGGCUAUUGUUUGUGGAAACAACUCAUCAGUGAGUGGCCAGCGUGCCCUGCCAUUCUAUGAUUUCUUGGACAGCUUUCUGUGUAUGCACAAGGGCCUUGUAGUGUCCAAAGUGUCACUCUCCAUAGACCGGAGGAAUCGAGAGGCACAAAAGUUGGGGCUGGAGCAGGGGAAGACCGAAAAGCUCAGUGUUGUCCUUGUUUCUGAUGACGAUGAAGCAUCUAUUUCCGAGCCUGCCGAUGACUCCAACGGGUAUUUUCAGGACACACGAGUGGACUCUGACCCUGUGAAUGUACAGUCCCCAGGGGAUGAAUGGCACGGAGAAGAUGGUAUGCUGGCAAGUGCUGAGGCUUCACCCAGUUUCUCUGGUGCUAGAGGAGAAAGCCAUUCUGCUUCCAAUUUAGGUCCACACAGUUCUUUUCCCAGAGUGUCCUUGGCAGAUGCUGACAGACUGAGCAACCACUGGAACAGGAAGCAGAGGAAGCAAGCUGAAGUCACCUCAGAUAUUGUGGAUACCAUCUCUCAAGUGGGUGACAGACUAGUUUGUGCUUUGUCUGACCUGCACUCCAAGUACAGGGAAAGCACUGAGCUUGCACAGAACAGAGAGAUGAAUGCCCGCAAGGAGGAGUUCGCCAUCCUUGCAAACCAUGUGGACCAGGCCACAAAAAACAUGGACAAACUCAUCAGUCUUAUGGAGACAUCGACCAGGCAGAUUGCAGAUGCUAUGGAUAGACAAACCGUAGCCUUGGAGAAAAUGGCUCAGUUGUUCGCUGCUAGGGCUCCAGCUAUUCCAGCACCAUUGGUAUUGCAAGAGCAGCCUGGGCUUUCUCCUCCAAACACUUCACUGUCACUCCCAUCACCACCAGCAAGGCUACAGAAUACCCUGAACCCUUUCGGGUCAUGCCACAGUGGGGAUCCUUCAGUACCAGAAUCAUCAGCUUCCUGUGAGGCUGAGGCAUGCCCGCCACAGGCCAAGAAAAUAAAGAAAGGAGAAGAUCAGUAGACUCAAAUCAUGUCACAAUCGCUCAUGGAUAGCUUUAAGAACAGAUUGGACAGAUUCAUGGAGGUCAGAUUUAUCAAUGGCUACUAGAAUGGAUGCCUAGGUACUGCCUCCGUUGGAAAGACUUUCCAACUUGGAGGCAGUACCUAGGCAUCCAUUCUAGUAGCCAUUGAUAAAUCUGACUUCCAUGAAUCUGUCUAAUCUGUUCUUAAAGCUAUCCAUGGAGGGUAUAUCAAAUUUUGUGUGGGCGUGUGUUUUCUUUUAAUAAAAUGUAGCCAGAUUUUAAGUUUAUAGCUGGG
ensembl:lncRNA